rnacentral:rRNA from 1 species
UCCCGUUGAUCCUGCGGGAGGCUGCUGCUAUUGGGAUUCGACUAAGCCAUGUAAGUCCAGGGGCUCGCAAGAGCACCGGCAAACUGCUCAGUAACACGUUGAUAAUCUGCCCUUAGAUCUGGGAUAACCUUGGGAAACUGAGGCUAACACCGGAUAUGAGAAUUCUGCUGGAAGGCAUUUUCUUUGAAAGGUAACGUCUAAGGAUGAGUCAGCGGUCGAUUAGGUUGUUGGUGGGGUAAUGGCCCACCAAGCCGAAGAUCGAUAGGGGCCCUGAAAGGGGGAGCCCCGAGAAGGGUACUGAGAUACGGACCCUAGCCCUACGGGGUGCAGCAGGCGCGGAACCUCUGCAAUGCACGAAAGUGUGACAGGGGAAUCCCAAGUGCUCAUGCAUAGCAUGGGCUUUUUGCUAAGAGUAAGUAUCUUGGCGAAUAAGUGGUGGGCAAGACUGGUGCCAGCCGCCGCGGUAACACCAGCGCCACAAGUGGCAGCCGCGAUUAUUGGGCCUAAAGCGUUCGUAGCCUGUCUGAUCAAUCCUCUGUGAAAUCGUUUGGCUUAACCUAACGGCAUGCAGAGGAGACUGUCAGACUUGGAACCGGGAGGGGUCAGGAGUAUUCUUGGGGGAGCGGUAAAAUGCUAUAAUCCCAAGAAGACUACCUGUGGCGAAGGCGCCUGACCAGAACGGGUUCGACGGUGAGGAACGAAAGCUAGGGUAGCGAUCCGGAUUAGAUACCCGAGUAGUCCUAGCUGUAAACUCUGCGAGCCAGGUGUCGCGCAUUCUCAAGGAAUGCGCGGUGUCGUAAUGAAGAUGUUAAGCUCGCCGCCUGGGAAGUACGGUCGCAAGACUGAAACUUAAAGGAAUUGGCGGGGGAGCACUACAAGGGGUGCGGCGUGCGGUUUAAUUGAAUUCAACGCCGGAAAUCUCACCAGGGGCGACGGCAGGAUGAAGGCCAGGUUAAAGACUUUGCCUAACGAGCCGAGAGGUGGUGCAUGGCCGUCGUCAGCUCGUGCCGUGAGGUGUCCUCUUAAGUGAGGCAACGAGCGAGACCUGCACUCACAAUUGCUAGCGGCUUUUCAAGGACCGAGCACAAUGUGAGAACUGCCCUGGAAACAGGGAGGAAGGUGCAGGCUACGGUAGGUCUGUAUGCCCCGAAUCCUCUGGGCUACACGCGCGCAACAAUGGUAGGGACAAUGGGAUGCAACUCUGAAAAGAGAAGCUGAACCGAGAAACCCUAUCCUAGUUCAGAUCGAGGAUUGUAACUCAUCCUCGUGACGAUGGAAUCCCUAGUAAUCAGACGUCAUUAUCGUCCGGUGAAUAUGUCCCUGCUCCUUGCACACACCGCCCGUCAAACCAACCGAGCAGGGUCUAGGUGAGGCACAACAUUAUUGGUUAUGUCGAAUCUAGGCUCAGUGAGGUGGGUUAAGUCGUCACAAGGUA